AACGCACGAGACCUGCGGACCUGCGGAAGGAUCAUUGCAAAUCAGAGUGGUGGUGGUAAGGGGGGAUAGUAGGCGUGGACUAUGCUAUGCUCCAUGCUUCUGCCCAUCCAUCUACCUACCUACCCUAUAUGUUCGGGGUAGCAAUACCUCGCGACAUUUACGCUUGUAUGUUUGACAGAGUGAGAAUGCAUCAUAAAUUGACAACUUUUAACAACGGAUCUCUAGAUCGGAAGAGCACAC
rnacentral:misc_RNA from 1 species